GUCAUAAUAUGUUAUAUUCUUAUUUACUUUUAUUAUUAUUUAUUUUUUUGAAAAUAGUCAUUAUAAAAUCCUGUAUUCGUUUAAAUAAUUCACUUUCUAACAUUAAUUUUUGUUUUUUCCCAGUGAUUAUCUUUUUUAGGAUAGCGACUAUGUAUUUAAGGUGCUAGUCCCAGAAUCAAUAGUAUUUUUAUUUGCCAAAUUUAGUAAUGUUUCGAGAAUAAAGGCUGAAGUAGCUCUGAAUGCCUACAUUUCUGAAAA